UCCGGUUUGUCACCGGCAGUCUGGCGUGAGUCCCCAACUAAAUGCUGGCAACACGCCACGGGGGUUGCGCUCGUUGCGGGACUUAACCCAACAUCUCACGACACGAGCUGACGACAGCCAUGCAGCACCUGUGGCGCACCCUCGAAGGUCACACGUUUCCGUGCGCUUGCAGCGCCAUGUCAAGCCCAGGUAAGGUGGGGAUGACGUUCGAGAGUACGUCC
rnacentral:misc_RNA from 1 species